CUUACUAGAUAUUCACAAUCCUUAUAAAUCUCUGCAAGAGAUUUUAGCUCUAAGGAUAAAGGAAACAACCUGAAGGCAAUUUGUAUGCUUAAAAGGCAAUGGAAAACCCUCCACUCUAUUAAUACCCAUGAACCUCUCUAUGUCUGCAUACUAACAAAACACUCAAAGACAACUAAUGUCUGGUUCCUUUUACACUCCCUCACUCUCGAUCUCUUUUGCUAUCAUAUACACACAGACCAAACAUGAUAAGUUAGAGAAUUCCCUCAGUUCACAAAACAAAAAAAAAAAGACACACAGUCAAUACCCCCUAACCUCUCGAUCCUCUCUCUCAAAUUCAAUUAACCAGAACAACACACACUCAUCACUACUCCAUCUCCCUCCUCGGUUCCCCACUCCGGCGACGACAGCACCCCCCUCCUCUCCUCUCGACGACAAAUCGGACCACCACCACCAUCCGGUGGUGGUGAGAGUCGACUGCAAGACAGAGAAACAGAGAGAUCGGAGAUCGAUUGAAGAGGAGAGAGACAGAAAACGAAGAGAGAGAAAGUUAAGGGCGGAGCCGGCGUCGAGCUCCGUCGAGCUCCGGCUGGACACGGCGGCAUUCGCCGCCGCUCAUCGCGGUGGUCCCUGUUCCUUCUUCGAUAAUUUCCGGUAAACCUGUUUCCUUUUAUUUUUCAUGAAGUUUGAAGAUGAUGAUGAGAUGCUAUUGACGGAGCCGAGAUGAUGAUGAAAACGAACGGCUAAAGCCGUAAUUCUUUUUUUUUCGUAACACGGGAGUUGUUUGACUCGGGUCACUGUUUUCCGGCAGUCGAGCUAACGACGUCAGUUCACGGCAACAGUAGUGGUGGUGGUUAAUUUUGAGAAUGGUUCGGAUCAUUGUCAGCUAGUCAAGUCAGAUUUCGGGUUCGGUUUUGGUCAACCACAGUCAACACCAUUUCCGGUCAAAGCUGAUCAACGGCUCGGGUCAACGGGUCAGACCUGGUGUGGUUCGUGUUCAGCUCAGCGGGUUCGAGUCAGGCAGUCAUCAAGGUCAGACGUUCGGUUCAGUUGACUAGGUCAAACCGAGUCAACUCGGUCAACCGAGUUAACUCAGUCAACAACAAGCAGUCAACCAAUCAACACCGGUCAACGGAAGUCAAACGCGGUCAACGGUUCGGUUCGGUGUCCGACACGAAGAAUGGUAAAAACUUAUAGCAGCACGCGUUAAUAUUAUUAUUCUAUAUAGUUUUCAUUACUUUCAUAAACUCGAGCUCGAACCGAUUCAUUAUGAUUUAGUUACCUUUGACACCUUGACAAAAAUUUAUACAUAUAGUGUUAUAUUGA